UAGAAAUAUAAGUGUCAUAAUUUGUGCAUGUACUUUUAUUGGAUAACGUAAUAAAAUUUCGUGGAUAGAUAUUUAAUAAGCUAUUUACAAAAUUGUUUCUAAGUGAUGCCAUGAUGCCGCUUUCAGCAAAUUUUAGACGUGAAAUGCUAUCAGCAAUAAAGAAUGCAAAGAAAAAUAAAGAAAGAAAAGAAUCUGACGAACGCACUGAGGAGGAACAGUUAAAUAGUAACAAUGGAAGUGUAUUCAGAAAUCCUUCGAUACUCUCGAAAACAAUUAACUCAACGCAACCACUCAAAAUAGAUGAACGACAGUCCAAUACAAAAGAAUUCACAGAGGCAGAAACAUCGAAGAAAUAGAAUAAUUUUCGUAUUGUAAAUUGAAAAAGUUUGUCAUUAAAACAAAUAAACAAUCUUACUGCUCGUUUUUAAAGGCGGAA